rnacentral:rRNA from 1 species
UACAGAGGGUGCAAGCGUUAAUCGGACUUACUGGGCGUAAAGGGCGCGUAGGCGGCUACUUAAGUGAGAUGUGAAAUCCAUGGGCUUAACCUGUGAACUGCAUCUCAUACUGGGUGGCUAGAGUAUGGCAGAGGAAUGUGGAAUUUCCGGUGUAGCGGUGAAAUGCGUAGAUAUCGGAAAGAACAUCAGUGGCGAAGGCGGCAUUCUGGGUCAAUACUGACGCUGAGGCGCGAAAGCGUGGGGAGCAAACAGG